AAGUCGUAACAAGGUUUCCGUAGGUGAACCUGCGGAAGGAUCAUUACCGAGUUCUGGGUUCUCUCAAUCGAGGCCCGCUCUCCCACCCUUUGUGAACUUAACCUCUGUUGCUUUGGCGUGGCCAGCGCUGUAAAAGGCGCGGUCGGCGGGGCCUGGCCCCCGCUGGCAAGCUUGCCCGCCAGAGGACUAUCAAACUCUUGUCAGUAAACGAUGCAGUCUGAUCAAACAUUUAAUUGUUUAAAACUUUCAACAACGGAUCUCUUGGUUCUG
rnacentral:misc_RNA from 1 species